CUUGGUGAUUUGAGCGGCGUGGUCCCACCUAAUCCAUUCCGAACUUAGAAGUGAAACGCGCUAGCGCCGACGAUAGUCAUCCGGCAACGGAGAGCGAAAAUAGGUCAUCGCCAGGU
rnacentral:rRNA from 1 species